rnacentral:rRNA from 1 species
UGAACGCUGGCGGCAGGCCUAACACAUGCAAGUCGAACGGUAACAGGAAGCAGCUUGCUGCUUUGCUGACGAGUGGCGGACGGGUGAGUAAUGUCUGGGAAACUGCCCGAUGGAGGGGGAUAACUACUGGAAACGGUAGCUAAUACCGCAUAACGUCGCAAGACCAAAGAGGGGGACCUUCGGGCCUCUUGCCAUCGGAUGUGCCCAGAUGGGAUUAGCUAGUAGGUGGGGUAACGGCUCACCUAGGCGACGAUCCCUAGCUGGUCUGAGAGGAUGACCAGCCACACUGGAACUGAGACACGGUCCAGACUCCUACGGGAGGCAGCAGUGGGGAAUAUUGCACAAUGGGCGCAAGCCUGAUGCAGCCAUGCCGCGUGUAUGAAGAAGGCCUUCGGGUUGUAAAGUACUUUCAGCGGGGAGGAAGGGAGUAAAGUUAAUACCUUUGCUCCUUGACGUUACCCGCAGAAGAAGCACCGGCUAACUCCGUGCCAGCAGCCGCGGUAAUACCGAGGGUGCGAGCGUUAAUCGGAAUUACUGGGCGUAACGCGCACGCCGGCGGGUUGUUAAGUCAGAUGUGAAAUCCCCGGGGCUCAACCUGGGAACUGCAUCUGAUACUGGCAAGCUUGAGUGCUCGUAGAGGGGGGUAGAAUUCCAGGUGUAGCGGUGAAAUGCGUAGAGAUCUGGAGGAAUACCGGUGGCGAAGGCGGCCCCCUGGACGAAGACUGACGCUCAGGUGCGAAAGCGUGGGGAGCAAACAGGAUUAGAUACCCUGGUAGUCCACGCCGUAAACGAUGUCGACUUGGAGGUUGUGCCCUUGAGGCGUGGCUUCCGGAGCUAACGCGUUAAGUCGACCGCCUGGGGAGUACGGCCGCAAGGUUAAAACUCAAAUGAAUUGACGGGGGCCCGCACAAGCGGUGGAGCAUGUGGUUUAAUUCGAUGCAACGCGAAGAACCUUACCUGGUCUUGACAUCCACGGAAGUUUUCAGAGAUGAGAAUGUGCCUUCGGGAACCGUGAGACAGGUGCUGCAUGGCUGCCGUCAGCUCGUGUUGUGAAAUGUUGGGUUAAGUCCCGCAACGAGCGCAACCCUUAUCCUUUGUUGCCAGCGGUCCGGCCGGGAACUCAAAGGAGACUGCCAGUGAUAAACUGGAGGAAGGUGGGGAUGACGUCAAGUCAUCAUGGCCCUUACGACCAGGGCUACACACGUGCUACAAUGGCGCAUACAAAGAGAAGCGACCUCGCGAGAGCAAGCGGACCUCAUAAAGUGCGUCGUAGUCCGGAUUGGAGUCUGCAACUCGACUCCAUGAAGUCGGAAUCGCUAGUAAUCGUGGAUCAGAAUGCCACGGUGAAUACGUUCCCGGGCCUUGUACACACCGCCCGUCACACCAUGGGAGUGGGUUGCAAAAGAAGUAGGUAGCUUAACCUUCGGGAGGGCGCUUACCACUUUGUGAUUCAUGACUGG